rnacentral:tRNA from 1 species
UAUUUGGCCUAAUGGAUAAGGCGUCUGACACCGAAUCAGAAGAUUACAGGUUCGAGUCCUGUAGUGGAAG